rnacentral:rRNA from 1 species
CACAAUGGAGGAAACUCUAAUGCAGCGACGCCGCGUGAGAGAAGAAGCCUUUCGGGGUGUAAAGCUCUUACGCCAGGGACGAUAAUGACGGUACCUGGAGAAGCAGCUGCGGCUAACUACGUGCCAGCAGCCGCGGUAAUACGUAGGCAGCAAGCGUUGUUCGGAAUUACUGGGCGUAAAGGGUGCGUAGGCGGCGCUCUAAGUUUGGUGUGAAAUCUCCCGGCUUAACUGGGAGGGUGCACUGAAAACUGGGGCGCUCGUGUAUGGGAGAGGAAAGCGGAAUUCCUGGUGUAGCAGUUAGAUGCGUAGAGAUCAGGAGGAACACCUGCGGUGCAGACGGCUUUCUGGACCAUCACUGACGCUGAGGCACGAAAGCGUGGG